rnacentral:tRNA from 1 species
ACUUUUAAAGGAUAACAGUUAUCCUUUGGUCUUAGGAACCAAAAAUCUUGAUGCAACUCCAAGUAAAAGUU